AUAUUUGCUGUGGGGUCACACCUCCGUGCUAUGUGCCAUCAGUAGUAGGAAUAUCCUGGCCAUCUAGGCAACAUCUCUUUCUAGAAUACUGAACUCUUAUGUUUGGUUUACUUGCUGUUCUCCCCCACACUGCAAGUGCUGCUGUAAGCUGAACCACUCUGGGAAAAUUUCCAAGGAAUAAUGGGAGGAAUUCUCAAGGACAAGAUGAGGACAGCACAAGUGAUGGCCCAGAAGAUGGAAGUGCAAUAGACAGUGGAAAGGGGAGACCUUGGAAAGAUUAACGAGACUAAGCUGUACUGAGGAGGAGGGAC
rnacentral:lncRNA from 1 species